CCCAAUUAAGCCCAACAUUUUCAAACCAAAACCCCCCAGCCAUUACUCAAUUUGGGGGGUCUUCAUCGAGACUACGAGCUUCUGCUUCUUCUAUUCAGCAGCCUUAAACCCUAAACCCUCGGAGUUAGAGCCAGCCAACCAUGGCACUCCUAGGAAAACUUCCCCACAAACCACUAAAUUCCCAAUAUAUCCUAACCGUCGCCGCCUGAUUCUUCACAACCCAAAGCCCCAAUUUCAACACUUUCCCCGAUAUCCCCACCUCGGCCUACUACGAUGACCAGGUCAAUGCCGCUAGCCGUUCCAGAGACUUCGACGACCUCCGCCACCUCCUCAACAAGUGCGUGAAGGACAACUGCUUCAACACCACCAACACCUUCAAGUUCAUCACCAGCACCGACGCCUCCCUCUCCGUACUCAACGAUCUCUGUCGAACUCAACUCUGGCUCGUCUUGACAAUGGCUUCGCCCGAAAGAGCGCGUACGACUCGCUCAUCGCGCGGCUCUGAAAGCUGGAGAGGGUCGACGAGGCGCUGCGCGUGGUGGAAAUGAUGGCCCGUGGAAACCACGGCAUGAACGCGUGUAGCUUUCACCCCAUACUCAAUGUUGUUAUGGAGGAAGCGUGGGCCGUGGUGGAUUUGAUGAGGAGGCUUGGGGCUCCGCUGGAUCUGACGGCGUACAAUUAUCUACUGAUGGCGUAUUGUUUCUCUGGAGAUUUGGAUCUGACGGCUGCAGUGCUGAAGAGGAUUGAGGAGAAGGGGAUGAGUGCGGACACGCGUACGUACGACGCGCUGGUGCUGGACGCUGCAAGGCGGGGAAGGUGGAGGGGGCUCUGGUGCUGCUGAGGAGGAUGGUGGACGAUGGAGUGCCGAUGCAGCUUUCGACACACGUGUACGUGAUUGAUUCGCUGCUGAACGCGAGCUUUUACUAUCAGACGGUGAAGUUUGUGAGGAGCUUUAGCAGGAGGGACACGUGGCUGGAUAAGGAGAAUUUCGGGAGCUUGGCGUAUCGGCUCAUCAAGUUGAAGAGGUUUGACAAGGCAAAACUGGUCUUGGACGAAAUGAAAUCCAGGGGUUUAGAUAUGGGCGAGAAAUUGAAGGAGAAAUAUGAGAUUAUUUAGUGUUAAUCAAAUGAUUUGUUUUCUCAAUUAGUUAGUGUUAA